rnacentral:rRNA from 1 species
UACGGGGGGGGGCAAGCGUUGUUCGGAAUUACUGGGCGUAAAGGGCUCGUAGGUGGCCAACUAAAGUCAACCGUGAAAUCCCUCGGCUUAACCGGGGAACUGCGUUUGAUACUGGAUGGCUUGAGUUUGGGAGAGGGAUGCGGAAUUCCAGGUGUAGCGGUGAAAAUGCGUAGAUAUCUGGAGGAACACCGGUGGCGAAGGCGGCAUCCUGGACCAAUACUGACGCUGAGGGAGCGAAAAAGCUAGGGGGGAGCAAAACGGG